rnacentral:rRNA from 1 species
AUUGAACGCUGGCGGCAGGCCUAACACAUGCAAGUCGAACGAGUGGCGGACGGGUGCGUAAUGUCUGGGAAACUGCCCGAUGGAGGGGGAUAACUACUGGAAACGGUAGCUAAUACCGCAUACCAUCGGAUGUGCCCCGAUGGGAUUAGCUUGUAGGUGAGGUAACGGCGCAACUAGGCGACGAUCCCUAGCUGGUCUGAGAGGAUGACCAGCGACACUGGAAUGGGGACACGGUCCAGACUCCUACGGGAGGCAGCAGUGGGGAAUAUUGCACAAUGGGCGCAAGCCUGAUGCAGCCAUGCCGAGUGUAUGAAGAAGGCCUUCGGGUUGUAAAGUACUUGCAGCGGUGAGGCGUUACCCGCAGAAGAAGCACCGGCUAACUCCGUGCCAGCAGCCGCGGUAAUUC